CAUACAUAUAUAUAACAUACACACAUAUACUUACUUUAUAUUAUAAUACAUUAUACAAAUAUAUAUAAUUUAUUUAAGAUGGUAAGGAUAAAUAAUGUUCCUUAACAGAUUUCUUGAAUGCUGCUAUGGUUUUGCACGCUCGUAUGCUUGGAGGGAGGGAAUUCCAAAGUAUAACUGCUUGUACAGAAAACGAUUUUGCGUAAGCAUGUGUUUUAUGAACAGGGCAAUUGAGGAGAGUUUUAAUGUGGGUUCUACAAGGAGCAAUGGAGGGACGGGCAUAGAUAAAGCGAUCACGUAAAUAUUGUGGGUAGUUAGGAUUAUGUAGGAUAUUAAAUAGGAAGCACAACAAUCUAGUAUUUCUGCGGAAACGGACUGGGAGCCACUUGAGCUUUUUGCGAAAUUCAGAAAUAUGAUCAUAUUUUUUGAGACCAAAAAUAAAACGGAUGCACAAAUUUUGCAAACGCUCAAGCUUAUUGAGAAGCUCCUCAGUGGCAUCCAAGUAGCAAGCAUCAGCGUAGUCCAAAAUGGGUAAAAUGAGACUUUGGGCAAGAGAAAUUUUAGUUUCCAAAGGUAAAAAAUAUUGGAGACAUUUGAGUGAAUGGAAUGCAAAGUUAACUUUGCUGCUAACAUUGUUAACCUGCUCAUUCCAGCUUAAGAAAGAGUUAAAAGUAACGCCAAGGUUUUUAACAGUUUCACUAAAGACAAUUGGUUGGCCAUUCAAUAUGAGAGAUCCAAUUGCAGAAUGAUUUAAUGCACGAAUAGCAUAUCUACUACCAAUUAUGAUGGCCUGUGUUUUGUUGGCAUUGAGUGCGCAGUGAUGGUAAAUUUGCAAAUCAUCUGCAUAAAGAUGAAAAUUUGAGGAUAUCAAAGUAGUGACUGUGUUAAUAAACACUGAGAAAAGAAGAGGAGAGAGAACACCACCCUGAGGCACGCCAGCAUCAACAGCAACCCAGUCUGAGAAGGAUUCAUUUUGACGUGUGCGUUGUGAACGGCCCCGAAGAUAUGAAUCAAACCAACUUAGGGCAGAAGUAGUAAUGUUAUGGGAUCGAAGAAUACCGAGCAGGAUAUCGAGAUCCACGCAGUUGAAUGCGUUACUGAAGUCAAGUAGUACAAGAAUGGUUAGGGAUUGGUUUUCAAUUGCCCAUCGAAUGUCAUCUGUCACUUUCAGCAACGCAGACACCGUGCUGUGUCCCGAUCGGAAACCUGAUUGAAAGUUGCUAAGAAUAUUAUUGGAGAGGAGGAAAUUUUGUAGUUGCUUGUGAACAAUGUGCUCCAACACUUUCGAGAGAAAA